rnacentral:rRNA from 1 species
AGUGAACGCUGGCGGUAGGCCUAACACAUGCAAGUCGAACGGCAGCACAGUAAGAGCUUGCUCUUACGGGUGGCGAGUGGCGGACGGGUGAGGAAUACAUCGGAAUCUACUUUUUCGUGGGGGAUAACGUAGGGAAACUUACGCUAAUACCGCAUACGACCUACGGGUGAAAGCAGGGGAUCUUCGGACCUUGCGCGAUUGAAUGAUCCGAUGUCGGAUUAGCUAGUUGGCGGGGUAAAGGCCCACCAAGGCGACGAUCCGUAGCUGGUCUGAGAGGAUGAUCAGCCACACUGGAACUGAGACACGGUCCAGACUCCUACGGGAGGCAGCAGUGGGGAAUAUUGGACAAUGGGCGCAAGCCUGAUCCAGCCAUACCGCGUGGGUGAAGAAGGCCUUCGGGUUGUAAAGCCCUUUUGUUGGGAAAGAAAAGCAGCAGGUUAAUACCCCGCUGUUCUGACGGUACCCAAAGAAUAAGCACCGGCUAACUUCGU